rnacentral:lncRNA from 1 species
UGGUAGGGAUUAAAUGGGACUGACCAUCCAACCUGUCAUAUGAGGAUAAUCUAACUUAAUAUGGGUCAACUUAGAUUUGUGGGAUUCUGUGUGGUUAAUAAAAACUAACAAACUCCAUCUUUUCUUUGGCAAAUAUCUUUUGGAAAGUUGGUUAGGGGCUAAGGCCCCAAUAAUUGGUAUCAGAGUCAGAUUGAGCAUGG